GUGCAUAGCAGCUCUGUGAACAUAACGCCAAAAUGGCGACCAGUCGUCAGUGAAGAACAGGCUCACGCCCUGAAGUAUUACACAUGCAGGGACCCUGAGGAUAAAGAAAAGAAUCACAAACCCAGAAAAGUGAAACAAGAAAAGGACAAUGAAAGGCUGUACUCGAAUUCGCAAACAAACUCCAAUAUGUGUUCGCCCAGUAUUUUUUCGAGCAGCUUUUGAUUUAUUUAUAAAAUGUGAAAGUUUUGUGUUAUUAAAUAUA